GGGAUUCAGCAAAGCCAUGUUAUCCAGGAACCUUGGAUCUCUGAGCUGUCCCAGGCUCCCUCUGCCAGCCGCUUGCUUCAGGGCUUCAAAGGAAGGCUCGGCUGCAGUACCCAGCAUGCUUUUCUGCGGCUGCCACAGCCCUCUUUUGAAGCACCAUGGUAGCCAACAGAGAGGAUUCUGUGUUACGUACAGUAUGACCCUGGAGGAGCCAGCCAGCUGCUGUGACUCAGCUAAAAACAGGGAACUCGCUAUGAGAGGCUAUGGUGAAUUCUCGAAGUUCUAUUACUUUCAGAAGCAGUUCUGAAUUAAAGGUGUCAACUGCCAAUAAGACAGUAGUAUAUUGGCAUAUGUUUCUAUGUACGACACAUAUAUGACACAUAUAUGCUGCUGUUGCAGAAGAGGUUUCAGAUUCCUUGGACCAGGAGGGACAACAAGCCUGGUAAUGGGAAUUGAACUCUGAUCCAUGGAAGAGCAGGAAGUACUCUGAAUUGCCGAGUCAUCUUUCCAGUCUCAACAUAUUUAUAUAUAAAUCUUUAAAGUAUUUGAAGUCAUUUGUCAAUUUAUUGUCAACAAGUAUUGUCAAUAAAUGUCAUAUAACCUC
rnacentral:lncRNA from 1 species